UGUUAUUUGAUGAAAUUAAUUACCGUAUGAUAUUAGUGAUAACAACUUUUUAUGGCUGCAAUUAUUGCAACUGAAUUU
rnacentral:snoRNA from 1 species